GAGGUUCUUCCCUCCUGACGUUGGGGUUCUCUCCACCCUACCCAUGAUCCUGAGGCCCCAUCUUCUCUCUCCGUGCACUGUCCUCUUGGGUCUUGCCUGUAUCUGUCCUUCAGGAUUUACCGCUAAAAUGGAAUGAAAUCGUGAUCCUUUUAAAUACGCAUGAAAACUCCCACUGCACUCCCUUCAUGGCCCAGCAGUCCUGUCUUCCCCUGCCUCUCCUGCUUCUUCUCUCACCACUGACCCUUCAUUCUGUUCUCCAGACAUGACACCUCUCUGUGGCUGUUGAGUAAUUUAAAAUCUGUCUUCCUAAGGCUAUUCUCUGAACAGCACCCGUAAACCUGAGGGUAUCCCUUGAUCAUGUUGUCUGCCCAGUGUUGGGCAGCUACCCUGCAGCUCUGGACAGCUAUCUGCAUCUCAGAGUGCUGCCUCUUUCACUGGCCACUGAAGUUCAAGCUUCAAUGAACCAAGAAUUCUCUGCUGUGGGCCCAGCACCGGUGACAACUGAGACCAUUAAGGAAGGUGGUUCUGAAUAGACUACUUCAUACCAGCAAGCUUGGGUGCAAGCCCUUUCAACUGGUGACCCAUUCUGAUCUUUCCAUUGGCCUGAAGACUUCACCUUUUCAUCCUGAAUUUCAGAUUCAGGAUGAUGGAAGGAACACUUUGUGGGGAUUAUGGCUACUUUUGGGUACCCAGAGCUCUGGGAAUGGACACAGUUAACACCUUCAACCAAUCAAUGCAGUCUUCAUUCUACCCCAGAGGCUUCUGAGAUCUGGUACUCAGUGCUGACUAAUCUGGUCUCAGUACUGACUGGAUGCUUCACCAUAUAAGCAGAACUUUUGGGUACCCAGAGCUCUGGGAAUGGACACAGUUAACACCUUCAACCAAUCAAUGCAGUCUUCAUUCUACCCCAGAGGCUUCUGAGAUCUGGUACUCAGUGCUGACUAAUCUGGUCUCAGUACUGACUGGAUGCUUCACCAUAUAAGCAGAACUCAAGCUACCUUCUGCUUCUGUCCAGUACACAUGGAAAGCUCUCUACAAUUGUAACCCAAAUAAACGUGGCUGUCUUGCUCAAUAGGCACUGCUCACACUGGGAUUCAGCAGAUCUUAAAGGUUUACUGUACCUUCGCUUGCUUUCUGGGCCUGUCUUUAUGUAGGAAGACUUUGAUACUCUUCAUUCAACAUCAAGACAGAUGUACUUCCAUGUCAAGCUCCAUAACUAUCUUCCCCUGGGAGGGACCUACCCUUGCUGACCUGAAUGAAUAGACUAUGCACUACACUAAAUCCCAGCCCCGAGCCUUCACUCUGGCCUGGGGCCUCAUUCACAAAGAGGCAGACGAUAAGUUUCCGUUAAGUUGUAGGAGUUUAUUUUAAAUAACCUACAGUUGAUUAAAAGGGAAUUCAUGAUAAAAAUAGAAGAUACUUGAGGAAAGAUGAGGGAAUGGACUCUGCACACACACUAAACUAACAAUGCCUCUAAAACUAGUGAUUAUAGCAAAAAAUGUCUUCACAUUAAAAUUUUGCUUUUUAUGUUUUUUUUUUCAAUUUUUUACACAAUUACAAAAGAAAAAUAAAAGCCCUAAAAUCUU